rnacentral:rRNA from 1 species
UUUUGCGUACCGUAUGUUUCCUCGGCGGGCUUGCCUGCCGGUUGGACAUUAUCAAACCUUUUUGUAGUUGCAAUCAGCGUCAGAAAACAAAUAAUAAUUACAACUUUCAACAACGGAUCUCUUGGUUCUGGCAUCGAUGAAGAACGCAGCGAAAUGCGAAAAGUAGUGUGAAUUGCAGAAUUCAGUGAAUCAUCGAAUCUUUGAACGCACAUUGCGCCCCUUGGUAUUCCAUGGGGCAUGCCUGUUCGAGCGUCAUUUUGUACCCUCAAGCACUGCUUGGUGUUGGGCGUUUGUCCUGCAAAGGACUCGCCUGAAAGCGAUUGGCGGCCAACGUACUGGUGGUAGAGCGCAGCACAAUUUGCGUCUCUCCCCUCUGCGUCGGCGUCCAUGAAGCCUUUUUUCAACGUUUGACCUCGGAUCAGGUAGGGAUACCCGCUGAACUUAAGCAUAU